GGUUAAGCGACUAAGCGUACACGGUGGAUGCCCUGGCAGUCAGAGGCGAUGAAGGACGUGCUAAUCUGCGAAAAGCGUCGGUAAGGUGAUAUGAACCGUUAUAACCGGCGAUGUCCGAAUGGGGAAACCCAGUGCAAUUCGUUGCACUAUCGUUAACUGAAUACAUAGGUUAACGAGGCGAACCGGGGGAACUGAAACAUCUAAGUACCCCGAGGAAAAGAAAUCAACCGAGAUUCCCCCAGUAGCGGCGAGCGAACGGGGAGCAGCCCAGAGUCUGAAUCAGCUUGUGUGUUAGUGGAACGGUCUGGAAAGUCCGACGGUACAGGGUGAUAGUCCCGUACACCAAAAUGCACAGGUUGUGAACUCGAAGAGUAGGGCGGGACACGUGGUAUCCUGUCUGAAUAUGGGGGGACCAUCCUCCAAGGCUAAAUACUCCUGACUGACCGAUAGUGAACCAGUACCGUGAGGGAAAGGCGAAAAGAACCCCGGCGAGGGGAGUGAAAAAGAACCUGAAACCGUGUACGUACAAGCAGUGGGAGCACCUUCGGGUGUGACUGCGUACCUUUUGUAUAAUGGGUCAGCGACUUAUAUUCUGUAGCAAGGUUAACCGUAUAGGGGAGCCGCAGGGAAACCGAGUCUUAACUGGGCGUUAAGUUGCAGGGUAUAGACCCGAAACCCGGUGAUCUAGCCAUGGGCAGGUUGAAGGUUGGGUAACACUAACUGGAGGACCGAACCGACUAAUGUUGAAAAAUUAGCGGAUGACUUGUGGCUGGGGGUGAAAGGCCAAUCAAACCGGGAGAUAGCUGGUUCUCCCCGAAAGCUAUUUAGGUAGCGCCUCGUGAACUCAUCUUCGGGGGUAGAGCACUGUUUCGGCUAGGGGGUCAUCCCGACUUACCAACCCGAUGCAAACUACGAAUACCGAAGAAUGUUAUCACGGGAGACACACGGCGGGUGCUAACGUCCGUCGUGAAGAGGGAAACAACCCAGACCGCCAGCUAAGGUCCCAAAGUCAUGGUUAAGUGGGAAACGAUGUGGGAAGGCACAGACAGCCAGGAUGUUGGCUUAGAAGCAGCCAUCAUUUAAAGAAAGCGUAAUAGCUCACUGGUCGAGUCGGCCUGCGCGGAAGAUGUAACGGGGCUAAACCAUGCACCGAAGCUGCGGCAGCGACACUAUGUGUUGUUGGGUAGGGGAGCGUUCUGUAAGCCUGCGAAGGUGUGCUGUGAGGCAUGCUGGAGGUAUCAGAAGUGCGAAUGCUGACAUAAGUAACGAUAAAGCGGGUGAAAAGCCCGCUCGCCGGAAGACCAAGGGUUCCUGUCCAACGUUAAUCGGGGCAGGGUGAGUCGACCCCUAAGGCGAGGCCGAAAGGCGUAGUCGAUGGGAAACAGGUUAAUAUUCCUGUACUUGGUGUUACUGCGAAGGGGGGACGGAGAAGGCUAUGUUAGCCGGGCGACGGUUGUCCCGGUUUAAGCAUGUAGGCUGAUUGUCCAGGCAAAUCCGGAUAAUCAAGGCUGAGGUGUGAUGACGAGGCACUACGGUGCUGAAGUAACAAAUGCCCUGCUUCCAGGAAAAGCCUCUAAGCAUCAGGUAACAUCAAAUCGUACCCCAAACCGACACAGGUGGUCAGGUAGAGAAUACCAAGGCGCUUGAGAGAACUCGGGUGAAGGAACUAGGCAAAAUGGUGCCGUAACUUCGGGAGAAGGCACGCUGGUGUGUAGGUGAAGUCCCUGCGGAUGGAGCUGAGACCAGUCGAAGAUACCAGCUGGCUGCAACUGUUUAUUAAAAACACAGCACUGUGCAAACACGAAAGUGGACGUAUACGGUGUGACGCCUGCCCGGUGCCGGAAGGUUAAUUGAUGGGGUUAUCCGUAAGGAGAAGCUCUUGAUCGAAGCCCCGGUAAACGGCGGCCGUAACUAUAACGGUCCUAAGGUAGCGAAAUUCCUUGUCGGGUAAGUUCCGACCUGCACGAAUGGCGUAAUGAUGGCCAGGCUGUCUCCACCCGAGACUCAGUGAAAUUGAACUCGCUGUGAAGAUGCAGUGUACCCGCGGCAAGACGGAAAGACCCCGUGAACCUUUACUAUAGCUUGACACUGAACAUUGAGCCUUGAUGUGUAGGAUAGGUGGGAGGCUUUGAAGCGUGGACGCCAGUCUGCGUGGAGCCAACCUUGAAAUACCACCCUUUAAUGUUUGAUGUUCUAACGUUGGCCCCUGACCGGGGUUGCGGACAGUGUCUGGUGGGUAGUUUGACUGGGGCGGUCUCCUCCCAAAGCGUAACGGAGGAGCACGAAGGUUAGCUAAUCCUGGUCGGACAUCAGGAGGUUAGUGCAAUGGCAUAAGCUAGCUUGACUGCGAGCGUGACGGCGCGAGCAGGUGCGAAAGCAGGUCAUAGUGAUCCGGUGGUUCUGAAUGGAAGGGCCAUCGCUCAACGGAUAAAAGGUACUCCGGGGAUAACAGGCUGAUACCGCCCAAGAGUUCAUAUCGACGGCGGUGUUUGGCACCUCGAUGUCGGCUCAUCACAUCCUGGGGCUGAAGUAGGUCCCAAGGGUAUGGCUGUUCGCCAUUUAAAGUGGUACGCGAGCUGGGUUUAGAACGUCGUGAGACAGUUCGGUCCCUAUCUGCCGUGGGCGCUGGAGAAUUGAGGGGGGCUGCUCCUAGUACGAGAGGACCGGAGUGGACGCAUCACUGGUGUUCGGGUUGUCAUGCCAAUGGCACUGCCCGGUAGCUAAAUGCGGAAGAGAUAAGUGCUGAAAGCAUCUAAGCACGAAACUUGCCCCGAGAUGAGUUCUCCCUGAGACUUUAAGUCUCCUGAAGGAACGUUGAAGACGACGACGUUGAUAGGCCGGGUGUGUAAGCGCAGCGAUGCGUUGAGCUAACCGGUACUAAUGAACCGUGAGGCUUAACCUU
rnacentral:rRNA from 2 species